ensembl:lncRNA
CAGUUACCCAUCUCUGCUUUAGCAGGCCGUCAGUUACCCAUCUCUGCUUUAGCAGGCCGUCAGUUACCCAUCUCUGCUUUAGCAGUCCGUCAGUUACCCAUCUCUGCUUUAGCAGGCCGUCAGUUACCCAUCUCUGCUUUAGCAGUCCGUCAGUUACCCAUCUCUGCUUUAGCAGGCCGUCAGUUACCCAUCUCUGCUUUAGCAGGCCGUCAGUUACCCAUCUCUGCUUUAGCAGGCCGUCAGUUACCCAUCUCUGCUUUAGCAGGCCGUCAGUUACCCAUCUCUGCUUUAGCAAGUCACUGAUCAAAGAAUGUUCUCCCUUCUACUUUUCUCCCUUCUUCUUUUCUCCCUUCUUCUUUUCUCCCUUCCUUCCAGCUCAUAAAUGAACUGUCAAUGAAACUGGACAUCGUGGUCAUCCUCAACAAAGCUGAAGCUAUAUGCCUGCAGCUGAAGAGUUGUAAGGAUUUGCCCAACUCCGUGGUUGAGAUGCUUGGAUUCAACAGCAGAGACACUGAGUCAUCAUCCCAGUCAGAGGACACUGAGAGAACGGACAGACCAGACUCUCCCGAACCUUCUACACCGUCAGACGACCAGCAGGACUUAGUCUCUGAGUACAACCCCAGCGGCAACAACGGACACUUACGGGACGCAGCGCGUGACGUUUACAAAUUAGCUUACAUAUCGUAGCCAGCCUGGCUAACAGUAGUCUCUCGUCCAGUGAGAGAUUUGGUUCUGGUGGCUGAGACGAGGCUCACAGCCUGGUGAAAAAGGUGGAUUGCGCCUCUCCCACCUCACAGCCCGAGGAGAGAUAGGAAAUGGCUUCUCAUGGCAGUAUCUUUAUAAUAGAGCCCAAGAGCUAUUCAUUUACAGGAAGUUUUUGCAAAUCAAAUCAUUUUUGUAAUGAUUCUGUCUGUUAAUCAUCUAAUUUUUCUUGUUCGAUGGUGGUCUUUGAGUUUUUAGGAUAUUGUUCCUUAUUGCCCCUGACUCCAAGGUAUUUAGUGUUCAGCAGAUUGCUCCUUAUUGCCCCUGACUAUAAGGUAUUUAGUGUUCAGCAGAUUGCUCCUUAUUGCCCCUGACUAUAAGGUAUUUAGUGUUCAGCAGAUUGCUC